GACGAACGCUGGCGGCGUGCUUAACACAUGCAAGUCGAACGGAAAGGCCUGCUUUCCCUUGUGGAUUGCGGGUACUCGAGUGGCGAACGGGUGAGUAACACGUGAGUGAUCUGCCCCCAACUUGGGUAUAAGCCUGGGAAACUGGGUCUAAUUCCCGAUAGGACUGCAGGGUGGUGCCUGUGGUGGAAAACGAUUUUCUAGUGGUUGGGGAUGAGCUCGCGGCCUAUCAGCUUGUUGGUGGGGUAAUGGCCUACCAAGGCGGCGACGGGUAGCCGGCCUGGGAGGGUGGACGGCCACAUUGGGACUGAGAUACGGCCCAGACUCCUACGGGAGGCAGCAGUGGGGAAUAUUGCACAAUGGGCGGAAGCCUGAUGCAGCGACGCCGCGUGGGGGAUGACGGCCUUCGGGUUGUAAACUCCUUUCGACCGCGAGGAAGCCACCUGGUUGGAAGUGUGGUGACGGUAGUGGUAGAAGAAGCACCGGCUAACUACGUG
rnacentral:rRNA from 1 species